CCUACGGGCGGCAGCAGUGAGGAAUAUUGGUCAAUGGGCGUAAGCCUGAACCAGCCAAGUCGCGUGAAGGAUGAAGGUCCUAUGGUUUGUAAACUUCUUUUAUAGGGGAAUAACGGUACUCACGUGUGGAUCUUUGCAUGUACCGUAUGAAUAAGCACCGGCUAACUCCGUGCCAGCAGCCGCGGUAAUACGGAGGAUGCGAGCGUUAUCCGGAUUUAUUGGGGUUAAAGGGUGCGUAGGUUGUAUGUUAAGUCAGCGGUGAAAGUUUGUGGCUCAACCAGGGAAUUGCCGUGGAAACUGGAAGACUUGAGGGUGUGAGAGGUAGGCGGAAUGCGUGGUGUAGCGGUGAAAUGCGUAGAUAUCACGAAGAACACCGAUUGCGAAGGCAGCUUACUGGGCCAUAACUGACGCUGAGGCGCGAAAGCGUGGGGAUCAAACAGGAUUAGAUACCCCGGUAGUC
rnacentral:rRNA from 1 species